rnacentral:rRNA from 1 species
AUUGAACGCUGGCGGCAUGCCUUACACAUGCAAGUCGAACGGCAGCACGGACUUCGGUCUGGUGGCGAGUGGCGAACGGGUGAGUAAUGUAUCGGAACGUACCUUUCAGUGGGGGAUAACGUAGCGAAAGUUACGCUAAUACCGCAUAUUCUGUGAGCAGGAAAGCAGGGGAUCGAAAGACCUUGCGCUGAUUGAGCGGCCGAUAUCAGAUUAGCUAGUUGGUGGGGUAAAGGCCUACCAAGGCGACGAUCUGUAGCGGGUCUGAGAGGAUGAUCCGCCACACUGGAACUGAGACACGGUCCAGACUCCUACGGGAGGCAGCAGUGGGGAAUGUUGGACAAUGGGGGCAACCCUGAUCCAGCCAUGCCGCGUGAGUGAAGAAGGCCUUCGGGUUGUAAAGCUCUUUCGGCCGGGAAGAAAUCGCAUAGGCUAAUACCCUGUGUGGAUGACGGUACCGGAAGAAGAAGCACCGGCUAACUACGUG